UAGAAUGUGGUGUAAAGGAAGCACAGAGGAUUUUGGGUUCUUGGGUGUAGGUUCGAGUCCUAUUGUUCUAG
rnacentral:tRNA from 1 species